rnacentral:rRNA from 1 species
GACGAACGCUGGCGGCGUGCUUAACACAUGCAAGUCGAACGGUGAAGCGCCUUCCUUUUUGGUGGGUGUGGAUGAGUGGCGAACGGGUGAGUAACACGUGAGUAACCUGCCCCCUUCUUCUGGAUAACCGCAUGAAAGUGUGGCUAAUACGGGAUAUUCUGGGUCUGUCGCAUGAUGGGUCUGGGAAAGAUAUUGUUUCGGUGGGGGAUGGGCUCGCGGCCUAUCAGCUUGUUGGUGGGGUGAUGGCCUACCAAGGCGGUGACGGGUAGCCGGCCUGAGAGGGUGGACGGUCACACUGGGACUGAGACACGGCCCAGACUCCUACGGGAGGCAGCAGUGGGGAAUAUUGCACAAUGGGCGCAAGCCUGAUGCAGCGACGCCGCGUGAGGGAUGGAGGCCUUCAGGUUGUGAACCUCUUUCGCCAGUGAAGCAGGCCUGCCUCGUUUGUGGGUGGGUUGACGGUAGCUGGAGAAGAAGCGCCGGCUAACUACGUG